AAGAUCUUUGGCAACACAUAUAUUAAAAUUGGAACAAUAUAGAGAAGAUUAGCAUGGCCCCUGCACAAGGAUGACAUGCAAAUUUGUGAAGCGUUCCAUAAAAAA